UACGUAGGGUGCGAGCGUUAAUCGGAUUUACUGGGCGUAAAGCGUGCGCAGGCGGCCCGUUAAGACAGGUGUGAAAUCACUGGGCUCAACCUAGGAAUUGCGCUUGUGACUGGCGGGCUCGAGUACGGUAGAGGGGGGUGGAAUUCCUGGUGUAGCAGUGAAAUGCGUAGAGAUCAGGAGGAACACCGAUGGCGAAGGCAGCCCCCUGGGCCUGUACUGACGCUCAUGCACGAAAGCGUGGGGAGCAAACAGG
rnacentral:rRNA from 1 species